rnacentral:precursor_RNA from 14 species
UUGUUUUUGAAGAAAGUGGUUUUAUAGGAAGCUUUACAAGGGAGAGUAGAUUAUGUUACCCUUAUGCUAAUUGCACUCCCUUGUGGGGCUUCCUAUCACCACCAGUACUUCGUAUGCCUUU